rnacentral:rRNA from 1 species
CCUGACCGAGCGACGCUGCGUGAAGGAUGAAGGCCUUCGGGUUGUAAACUUCUGUCGAGGGGGAUCAAGGGCAACUUGAGUGAUCCCUGGAGGAAGCACGGGCUAAGUUCGUGCCAGCAGCUCGCGGUAAGACGAACCGUGCGAACGUUGUUUCGGAAUCACUGGGCAUAAAGGGCGCGUAGGCGGCUUUUCAAGUGCGUAGGGGUGAAAUCCGGCAGCUUAACUGUAGAAGUGCCUUUGAUACUGAUGAGCUCGAGGGAGGUAGGGGUAUGGGGAACUUCCGGUGGAGCGGUGAAAUGCGUUGAUAUCGGAAGGAACCCCGGUGGCGAAAGCGGCGUACUGGACCUCUUCUGACGCUGAGGCGUGAAAGCUAGGGGAGCAAACGGGAUUAGAUACCCCGGUAGUCCUAGCCCUAAACGUUGGGUACUAGAUAAGGGACUUACAUGGGUUCACUGUCG